GAGCGGCGCACGGGUGCGGAACACGUGUGCAACCUGCCUUUAUCUGGGGGAUAGCCUUUCGAAAGGAAGAUUAAUACCCCAUAAUAUAUUGAGUGGCAUCACUUGAUAUUGAAAACUCCGGUGGAUAGAGAUGGGCACGCGCAAGAUUAGAUAGUUGGUGAGGUAACGGCUCACCAAGUCAAUGAUCUUUAGGGGGCCUGAGAGGGUGAUCCCCCACACUGGUACUGAGACACGGACCAGACUCCUACGGGAGGCAGCAGUGAGGAAUAUUGGACAAUGGGUGAGAGCCUGAUCCAGCCAUCCCGCGUGAAGGACGACUGCCCUAUGGGUUGUAAACUUCUUUUAUACUGGGAUAAACCUACCCUUCGUGAGGGUAGCUGAAGGUACAGUAUGAAUAAGCACCGGCUAACUCCGUGCCAGCAGCCGCGGUAAUACGGAGGGUGCAAGCGUUAUCCGGAUUUAUUGGGUUUAAAGGGUCCGUAGGCGGACUCGUAAGUCAGUGGUGAAAUCUCAUAGCUUAACUAUGAAACUGCCAUUGAUACUGCGGGUCUUGAGUAAAGUAGAAGUGGCUGGAAUAAGUAGUGUAGCGGUGAAAUGCAUAGAUAUUACUUAGAACACCAAUUGCGAAGGCAGGUCACUAUGUUUUAACUGACGCUGAUGGACGAAAGCGUGGGGAGCGAACAGGAUUAGAUACCCUGGUAGUCCACGCCGUAAACGAUGCUAACUCGUUUUUGGGUUUUCGGAUUCAGAGACUAAGCGAAAGUGAUAAGUUAGCCACCUGGGGAGUACGUUCGCAAGAAUGAAACUCAAAGGAAUUGACGGGGGCCCGCACAAGCGGUGGAUUAUGUGGUUUAAUUCGAUGAUACGCGAGGAACCUUACCAAGGCUUAAAUGGGAAUUGACAGGUUUAGAAAUAGAUCCUUCUUCGGACAAUUUUCAAGGUGCUGCAUGGUUGUCGUCAGCUCGUGCCGUGAGGUGUUAGGUUAAGUCCUGCAACGAGCGCAACCCCUGUCACUAGUUGCCAUCAUUCAGUUGGGGACUCUAGUGAGACUGCCUACGCAAGUAGAGAGGAAGGUGGGGAUGACGUCAAAUCAUCACGGCCCUUACGCCUUGGGCCACACACGUAAUACAAUGGCCGGUACAGAGGGCAGCUACUAUGCGAAUAGAUGCGAAUCUCGAAAGCCGGUCUCA
rnacentral:rRNA from 1 species